rnacentral:rRNA from 1 species
GAUGAACGCUGACAGAAUGCUUAACACAUCAGCAAUUGAUUGGUGGCGGACGGGUGAGUAACGCGUAAAGAACUUACCUCACAGUUAGGGACAACAUUUGGAAACGAAUGCUAAUACCUCAUCCUGUGAGAGAGCUUUGCGUCCCAUUAGCUAGUUGGAGAGGUAACGGCUCACCAAGGCGAUGAUGGGUAGCCGGCCUGGGAGGGUGAUCGGCAACAAGGGGACUGAGACACGGCCCUUACUCACACGGGAGGCAGCAGUGGGAAAGAGUGGAAAAUGGACCAAAGUCUGAUCAAGCAAUUCUGUGUGAAAGAUGAAGUUUUCGGAAUGUAAAGUGCUUUAAGUUGGGAAGCGGUACCAACAGAAGAAGUGACGGCUAAAUACGUGCCAGCAGCCGAGGUAAUAC